rnacentral:rRNA from 1 species
GAUGAACGCUGGCGGCGUGCCUAAUACAUGCAAGUCGAGCGAACAGACGAGGAGCUUGCUCCUCUGACGUUAGCGGCGGACGGGUGAGUAACACGUGGAUAACCUACCUAUAAGACUGGGAUAACUUCGGGAAACCGGAGCUAAUACCGGAUAAUAUAUUGAACCGCAUGGUUCAAUAGUGAAAGACGGUUUUGCUGUCACUUAUAGAUGGAUCCGCGCCGCAUUAGCUAGUUGGUAAGGUAACGGCUUACCAAGGCAACGAUGCGUAGCCGACCUGAGAGGGUGAUCGGCGACCCUGGAACUGAGACACGGUCCAGACUCCUACGGGAGGCAGCAGUAGGGAAUCUUCCGCAAUGGGCGAAAGCCUGACGGAGCAACGCCGCGUGAGUGAUGAAGGUCUUCGGAUCGUAAAACUCUGUUAUUAGGGAAGAACAAAUGUGUAAGUAACUAUGCACGUCUUGACGGUACCUAAUCAGAAAGCCACGGCUAACUACGUG